rnacentral:rRNA from 1 species
CUUAACAUGCAAGUCGAACAAUGUAACGGUGCUUGCACCGGGGAUUAGUGGCGAACGGGUGAGUAACACGUGAGUAACCUGCCCUUAACUCUGGGAUAAGCCUGGGAAACUGGGUCUAAUACCGGAUAUGACUCCUCAUCGCAUGGUGGGGGGUGGAAAGCUUUUUGUGGUUUUGGAUGGACUCGCGGCCUAUCAGCUUGUUGGUGAGGUAAUGGCUCACCAAGGCGACGACGGGUAGCCGGCCUGAGAGGGUGACCGGCCACACUGGGACUGAGACACGGCCCAGACUCCUACGGGAGGCAGCAGUGGGGAAUAUUGCACAAUGGGCGCAAGCCUGAUGCAGCGACGCCGCGUGAGGGAUGACGGCCUUCGGGUUGUAAACCUCUUUCAGUAGGGAAGAAGCGAAAGUGACGGUACCUGCAGAAGAAGCGCCGGCUAACUACGUGCCAGCAGCCGCGGUAAUACGUAGGGCGCAAGCGUUAUCCGGAAUUAUUGGGCGUAAAGAGCUCGUAGGCGGUUUGUCGCGUCUGCCGUGAAAGUCCGGGGCUCAACUCCGGAUCUGCGGUGGGUACGGGCAGACUAGAGUGAUGUAGGGGAGACUGGAAUUCCUGGUGUAGCGGUGAAAUGCGCAGAUAUCAGGAGGAACACCGAUGGCGAAGGCAGGUCUCUGGGCAUUAACUGACGCUGAGGAGCGAAAGCAUGGGGAGCGAACAGGAUUAGAUACCCUGGUAGUCCAUGCCGUAAACGUUGGGCACUAGGUGUGGGGGACAUUCCACGUUUUCCGCGCCGUAGCUAACGCAUUAAGUGCCCCGCCUGGGGAGUACGGCCGCAAGGCUAAAACUC